rnacentral:rRNA from 1 species
UGAGGAACAUGACCUUCGGCGGGGGAUAGCCGGCCCAACGGCCGGGUAAUACCGCGUACGACCACAUGGGGACAUCCCUGAGUGGUGAAAGCAGCAAUGCGCCGAUGGAGUGCCUCGCGGCCUAUCAGCUAGUUGGUGAGGUAACGGCUCACCAAGGCAACGACGGGUANCUGGUCUGAGAGGAUGGCCAGCCACAUUGGGACUGAGACACGGCCCAGACCUCUACCGGGGAGG